UACGGAGGGUGCAAGCGUUAUCCGGAUUUACUGGGUUUAAAGGGUGCGUAGGUGGGUCUGUAAGUCAGUGGUGAAAUCUCCGAGCUUAACUCGGAAACUGCCAUUGAUACUAUAGAUCUUGAAUUAUCUGGAGGUAAGCGGAAUAUGUCAUGUAGCGGUGAAAUGCUUAGAUAUGACAUAGAACACCAAUUGAGAAGGCAGCUUACUACGGAUCGAUUGACACUGAGGCACGAAAGCGUGGGGAUCAAACAGG
rnacentral:rRNA from 1 species